AAAAAUGGGCUAUAUAAACACAAUGCCUCCAACUGAAGCCCAACAUUUCCAUGAUGGCUCGUCUAUUGAUUGUAUUUCUUCUCGUGACUGUGCUGGCUGGCAUUACUCUUGCAAAUAUACCGGCCAUCAUAAGCGCUCUUACAGGCGGAGGAGCCAGAGUAGAUAUACCCGUGGACUACAGGGUUCCAAGCGCUUACUAUGUGGCCCCACCCUCCAAACAGUUUUCCUUCAACUAUGGAAGGUAUUGAUGGAUGUCCUUGAUAUGGUCAAAAGUUAUAUGUGGUGUAGUUAAAUAUUACAUUUUUUGUAUGAAUAUGAAAAUAUACUACCCACUCGAAUACAA